rnacentral:rRNA from 1 species
UACGUAGGGGGCAAGCGUUGUCCGGAUUUAUUGGGCGUAAAGAGCGUGUAGGCGGUUUGGUAGGUUCGCUGUGAAAACUCGAGGCUCAACCUCGAGACGCCGGUGGAAACCAUCAGGCUAGAGUCCGGAAGAGGAGAGUGGAAUUCCUGGUGUAGCGGUGAAAUGCGCAGAUAUCAGGAAGAACACCCGUGGCUAAGGCGGCUCUCUAGUACGGUACUGACGCUGAGACGCGAAAGCGUGGGGAGCGAACAGG